UACGUAGGGACCAAGCGUUGUUCGGAUUUACUGGGCGUAAAGAGCGCGCAGGCGGUCAGAUAGGUCGAAUGUGAAAGCCCCCGGCUCAACUGGGGAGGGUCAUUCGAUACUGUUCGACUCGAAGGCAGGAGAGGGAAGUGGAAUUCCCGGUGUAGUGGUGAAAUGCGUAGAUAUCGGGAGGAACACCAGUGGCGAAGGCGACUUCCUGGCCUGUUCUUGACGCUGAGGCGCGAAAGCUAGGGGAGCAAACGGG
rnacentral:rRNA from 1 species